rnacentral:rRNA from 1 species
GACGAACGCUGGCGGCGUGCCUAAUACAUGCAAGUCGAACGCAGUGGGGACGGGGGAGUAACAAGUGGGUAACCUCCCAUCAGAGGGGAUAACACUUGGAAACAGGUGCUAAACCGAUACUGAUGGAUGGACCCGCGUGGCAUUAGCUAGUUGGGGGGGUAACGGCUCAACAAGGCCACGAUGCAUAGCCGACCUGUGAGGUUGAUCGGCAACACUGGGACUGAGACACGGCCCAGUCUCCUACGGGAGGCAGCAGUGGGGAAUCUUCGGCAAUGGGCGAAAGUCUUACCGAGCAACGCCGCGUGAGUGAAGAAGGUUUUCGGAUUGUAAAGCUCUUUUGUUAGAGAAGCGGUAUCUAACCAGAAAGCCACGGCUAACUUCGUGCCAGCAGCCGCGGUAAUAC